UGGGGAAUAUUGGACAAUGGGCGAAAGCCUGAUCCAGCCAUGCCGCGUGUGUGAAGAAGGUCUUCGGAUUGUAAAGCACUUUAAGUUGGGAGGAAGGGCAUUAACCUAAUACGUUAGUGUUUUGACGUUACCGACAGAAUAAGCACCGGCUAACUCUGUGCCAGCAGCCGCGGUAAUACAGAGGGUGCAAGCGUUAAUCGGAAUUACUGGGCGUAAAGCGCGCGUAGGUGGUUUGUUAAGUUGGAUGUGAAAUCCCCGGGCUCAACCUGGGAACUGCAUUCAUAACUGACUGACUAGAGUAUGGUAGAGGGUGGUGGAAUUUCCUGUGUAGCGGUGAAAUGCGUAGAUAUAGGAAGGAACACCAGUGGCGAAGGCGACCACCUGGACUAAUACUGACACUGAGGUGCGAAAGCGUGGGGAGCAAACA
rnacentral:rRNA from 1 species